rnacentral:rRNA from 1 species
AGCAGCCGCGGUAAUUCCAGCUCCAAUAGCGUAUAUUAAAGUUGUUGCAGUUAAAAAGCUCGUAGUUGAAUUUCGGGGUUAGUAGGUUGGUCAUGCCUCUGGUAUGUACUGGUCUCACUGAUUCCUCCUUCCUUAUGAACCGUAAUGCCAUUAAUUUGGUGUUGCGGGGAAUUUGGACUGUUACUUUGAAAAAAUUAGAGUGUUUAAAGCAAGCUAACGCUUGAAUACAUUAGCAUGGAAUAAUGAAAUAGGACGUUCGAUCUUAUUUUGUUGGUUUCUAGGAUUGACGUAAUGAUUAAUAGGGAUAGUUGGGGGCAUUAGUAUUCAAUUGUCAGAGGUGAAAUUCUUGGAUUUAUUGAAGACUAACUACUGCGAAAGCAUUUGCCGAGGAUGUUUUCAUUAAUCAAGAACGAAAGUUAGGGGAUCGAAGACGAUCAGAUACCGUCGUAGUCUUAACCAUAAACUAUGCCGACUAGGGAUCGGAUGAUUUAUA